rnacentral:lncRNA from 1 species
AUGAAAUGUUCUAAGUGGCAUUAUGACCGAUCAAACUUAUAAUUAGUUAAACUACUAAAAGGGAUCAAUAUGGAAGUGAAUGAAAAGGAAUAUUUUACAAUAUGUUAUAUGUUUAUAUAUGAAACUUUAAAUGGUCUGAUACAAGAAUAGUCAGCUAGACAUGGCCAAAGACCUACGGCCAAACCAUGAUUCCGCAGCCAACAUGAUCGACCAUCUCAUUGGUUGGUUUAUUGGCUCCAUUUUAAUUAUCCAUCUUCCCAACUACUCCCUCCUCUAUUCUUAAAAACAACGCAACCCUUCUCUUUCUUUCUUGAACCGCUGCAAACAACCACGACAACCACCACCACUCUCAAAUCUGUUUCGGACACCUCUUAUACACUCGACACAAUCGCAAAGGAUCCAAGAACUCUCUCCCUCGUUGUUUCACGGCUGCCGGAGGUUGGAGUUCACCGGAAACGUCACCGGUACCGCCCGAAGUUCAUGGCCGUAUCACGUCGGAACUAGUAUUGUUUUGCCUUUUCGCUAUCUCCCUCACUCUCUCGUUAACCGGAAGCCGCCGGAGAAGAACCUGCAAGUCCGCCGGAAUUACGCGACGUCGCCGGAACCGACGGGUCUCUUUUCUGCUCGGAUAACCGUUUCGUUCUCUUGGAUUUUUCCAAUCUUUACUCGUACGUAUUUCAAGGAAUCUCCAAACGCAACCAAUGUUAACUGUUGAAGUAUGGACUAAAGAUGAAACGAGAUUUAGGGUGGACUAGAUACACACCUAGAUUAAUUUAUCUUCUAUUGUUAUGUUUUAUGUUGCAACAAUGUUGUUAUCUUUAUUUGAAUUUUGUAUGACAUUAGUAUUGGAAAUGAAAUUU